GUGGCGAACGGGUGAGUAACACGUGAGCAAUCUGCCCCUGACUCUGGGAUAACAGUUGGAAACAGCUGCUAAUACCGGAUAUGAGACGUGACCGCAUGGUCGACGUUUGGAAAGAAUUUCGGUCAGGGAUGAGCUCGCGGCCUAUCAGCUUGUUGGUGAGGUAAUGGCUCACCAAGGCGUCGACGGGUAGCCGGCCUGAGAGGGUGACCGGCCACACUGGGACUGAGACACGGCCCAGACUCCUACGGGAGGCAGCAGUGGGGAAUAUUGCACAAUGGGCGAAAGCCUGAUGCAGCAACGCCGCGUGAGGGACGACGGCCUUCGGGUUGUAAACCUCUUUUAGCAGGGAAGAAGCGAAAGUGACGGUACCUGCAGAAAAAGCGCCGGCUAACUACGUGCCAGCAGCCGCGGUAAUACGUAGGGCGCAAGCGUUAUCCGGAAUUAUUGGGCGUAAAGAGCUCGUAGGCGGUUUGUCGCGUCUGCUGUGAAAACUGGAGGCUCAACCUCCAGCCUGCAGUGGGUACGGGCAGACUAGAGUGCGGUAGGGGAGAUUGGAAUUCCUGGUGUAGCGGUGGAAUGCGCAGAUAUCAGGAGGAACACCGAUGGCGAAGGCAGAUCUCUGGGCCGUAACUGACGCUGAGGAGCGAAAGGGUGGGGAGCAAACAGGCUUAGAUACCCUGGUA
rnacentral:rRNA from 1 species